UGAUGACGUCAGCUCCCUCAAUGUUGCC
rnacentral:piRNA from 1 species